GAGGGGUCCGUGGGGGCCGCGAAGGGCAGCGGUGCUCGGAGACUGGGCAGCGGUGCGGUCGGGUGAGGCCAGGUCAGUCCAGCAACAGCACUGCGCUUGGCCCCAGCCCAUCACAGCCCGAUCGUGCAGCUGGGGGUGAUGGCACGCGGCGAUGGCGCGCAGCGAUGGCACACGGCGAUGGCACGGCGCUGCUCAUCAGGAGGCGACAGGAGCGGCGAGGGCGCAGAAACGCAGAGCCACGCUGGGGCACCUCGGGGUCAUCGCCGCCCUUCCUCAGGCUGCGUCCCCUGCUGCAGUUCCGCCUGGAAGAAAGAAAGAGCUCGCAAAAACCCUGUGAAGCACUUGAACAUGAAUGGCUUAUGUGAAACUACGAUCGUUCCUUCUCAAGUCAGUCACCGUUCUCACGCUGGGGCUGCUUCCCCCGUUAAGCUCCAGCUGCACAACCCCCGCGCCGCCCCAGACCGACGGCUCCGCUCAGCGCGCUCCCCCUGCCCGGCCGGGGCCGGUGCCAGCGCCGCACCACGGUUCAUCCCAGCUGUAAUUUCACCUCGGUGAAGGAACCUUACUGCACAGACCCUUAUAGGGACAAGAAAUACGUCUAAUUACCAUAUCCUUAGAAUAGACGUAAUAUAAAUUUCAUUACUCACUUAAAAGUUCUAAAGUUAACAGCAUAAACUUGAAGUUGAGUAAUUAAGUAAUCCUUAUAUAGACACUUAUUAAAGUAUUUAUACAUAUUAUCUUAAAUCUACAUCUAUCAUUUUGCCAAUUAAAAUUAGGACUUUAAUUGCAAUUAAGUAAUUUAAUUGCCAAUUGAACAGCAAAAUUGCUAAGUGACUAAUUUUAAUGCCUAUUUUAAUUACCAAUCAUGACUGGGGAGGGAGCUAAUCAAGCGGUAUCAGAGUAAUGAUGUGAAAAAAAACGGAGAACAAACAUUCAAGACUACAUGCUUUUAAAAAAGAACUCUAAAUUAAAUAAAUGCAAACACAAUUUUAUACA
rnacentral:lncRNA from 1 species